GAUGAACGCUGGCGGCGUGCCUAAUACAUGCAAGUCGAGCGAACAGACGAGGAGCUUGCUCCUUUGACGUUAGCGGCGGACGGGUGAGUAACACGUAGGUAACCUACCUAUAAGACUGGAUAACUUCGGGAAACCGGAGCUAAUACCGGAUAAUAUUUCGAACCGCAUGGUUCGAUAGUGAAAGAUGGCUUUGCUAUCACUUAUAGAUGGACCUGCGCCGUAUUAGCUAGUUGGUAAGGUAACGGCUUACCAAGGCAACGAUACGUAGCCGACCUGAGAGGGUGAUCGGCCACACUGGAACUGAGACACGGUCCAGACUCCUACGGGAGGCAGCAGUAGGGAAUCUUCCGCAAUGGGCGAAAGCCUGACGGAGCAACGCCGCGUGAGUGAUGAAGGUCUUCGGAUCGUAAAACUCUGUUAUUAGGGAAGAACAAACGUGUAAGUAACUGUGCACGUCUUGACGGUACCUAAUCAGAAAGCCACGGCUAACUACGUG
rnacentral:rRNA from 1 species